rnacentral:rRNA from 1 species
UACGUAGGGACCAAGCGUUGUUCGGAUUUACUGGGCGUAAAGGGCGCGUAGGCGGCGCGACAAGUCACUUGUGAAAUCUCUGGGCUUAACCCAGAACGGCCAAGUGAAACUGUUGUGCUAGAGUGCAGAAGGGGCAAUCGGAAUUCUCGGUGUAGCGGUGAAAUGCGUAGAUAUCGAGAGGAACACCAGAGGUGAAGACGGGUUGCUGGGCUGACACUGACGCUGAGGCGCGAAAGCUAGGGGAGCAAACGGG